GUCAUUAAUAUUAGGUUGAAGUUGUACGUGCUUACUGGAUUUUUGUGAUUUUUUUUUGUGUUAAGCGGCUAUUAUAGAGUUGAUUUAACUGUUAUUUUUUUCUCUUAAAAGAUUGUACUUAUUAUGAGAUCAUAAUGCCGUCGCUACAUGCAAAAACACUAAUUGAAAUACCAAAGAAACAAGUGUUUUAUAUUUUGAUUUCCAAAAAAAAGACUUGGCGAAGAAGUGGACAUGACCCUGUGGUCGAGAGGAUAAAAUUAAUUCAAAAUAUGAUAAUAUCAAAGGCAAAUAUAAUUCCAUUAUCCGACCAGUAUAGGAAAAGAAAAAGCAAAGAGAAAGAGAAAGAACUAGUUCCGUACCAUCUUCAUUAUUGAAAGGAGUAACCAAUCGAAAUAUGAAAAAACCGGAAAGAGUAUGUGGAUUGAAUAUACCACCAAACCAAUUGACAAUAAAUACUUUGAUGAUUUCAAUGAAAUAGUAGAAAGAUUAGAAUUACUUGUAGCUUCUCAGGCAGCCGGAAAUACUGGUCAUUCAAACGAAAUUGUCUAUUAUUAAAGAAAUGCGUGAGGCUGGAAUAAUUCAAUAAAUAAAGCGGAAACUGAAAUUUUAUAUCAGUAGUUCGUAGAUCUUGAAACAAUGUCUAUCAACAAAUUUGGUAACCCUUUCCUUUCGAAAUCAACCCCCGAUCCAUCGAAUGAAAUACUUAAAUAAUCGCUUCUAUAUCUAUGGCACCCAGAAGGGGAUGUUAUCAAGUUUAAAUUAGGGUCUCCCAAAUCCAUUUGCAUUGAAAUACUGCUGGAGUCUCCGAUACAAAAAAAUGUAUGAAUACGGCUUGGACUAAAUCAUCGAUCAAAGAAAAAAUGUAAUAAUGUGUGUAAAAAGAAUUCUUCUAUAACCCUCUCUCAGUAUUAAUGCGCAUUUUCAGACUGUAUAAACCAUUACAACCAACUAAAUAGUCAUCGAUUGGCGUAACUCAAACAAGAUCGCACGACACCUUUACAUCAAUUUGGUAAUAUGAUGAAGCAUCUAAUGCGGAUAUGGUUUAUAUUAAAGGACGUGAAAACAACACCUAUUUGUGAAUUGGACCCACCUUUUGAACACUCCAAGCCAAAAUAUAUCUAUCAUAAAAACAAUAUUUGUGUUUGUGCACUAUCAAAUCUUAUUUCUAUAUGAUUCUUUUAUAAUGAAAUAAAAAAUGUUUCCAAUA